rnacentral:rRNA from 1 species
AUCCUUUCCACCGAAAGCAUAAGGAUUCCUGAGCAACGAUCGUCGUCUCAGGGUAAGUCGGGACCUAAUCCGAGGCAAAGAGCGUAGGAGAUGGACAACUGGUUGAUAUUCCAGUACCGGUAGUAAUUGUUUGAGCAAUGGAGUGACACAGAAGGGCAGGCAAGCAUGCGAAUGGAAGAGCAUGUGUAAGCGUGUAGGGUGGUGUACAGGCAAAUCCGUACACUGAGAGCCUGAGGCGUGAAGCGGAGUAAGCAGAAAUGCGAGCGAAGUUGCUGACCCCACACUGUCGAGAAAAGCUUCUAGUGAGAGAGCUACCGCCCGUACCGUAAACCGACACAGGUAUGCGGGGAGAGAAUCCUAAGGUGCGCGGGAGAACCCUCGUUAAGGAACUCGGCAAAAUGUACCCGUAACUUCGGGAUAAGGGUAGCCACUGUUGUGAAGUCCCAUGCGGAUGGAGCAUAGAGUGGUCGCAGAGAAGAGGCCCAAGCGACUGUUUACCAUAAACACAGGUGCCUGCUAAAGCGAAAGCUGACGUAUAGGUGCUGACACCUGCCCAGUGCCGGAAGGUUAAGGAAGGAUGUUCGGAUUAGUCCAAAGCAUUCGACUGAAGCCCCGGUGAACGGCGGCCGUAACUAUAACGGUCCUAAGGUAGCGAAAUUCCUUGUCGGGUAAGUUCCGACCCGCACGAAAGGUGUAACGAUUUGGGCACUGUCUCAACGAGGGACCCGGUGAAAUUGAAAUACCUGUGAAGAUGCAGGUUACCCGCGACUGGACAGAAAGACCCCAUGGAGCUUUACUGUAACCUGACAUUGGGUUUUGAUACAUUACGUACAGGAUAGGUGGGAGGCAUGGAAAGCUGGACGCUAGUCUAGCUGGAGCCGACGUUGGGAUACCACCCUUGAUGUAUUGAAAUUCUAACCGCGAGAGUAACGAAAUCCGGGACAGUGUCAGGCGGGCAGUUUGACUGGGGCGGUCGCCUCCGAAAGAGUAACGGAGGCGCCCAAAGGUUCCCUCAGCGCGGCUGGAAAUCGCGCGAAGAGUGUAAAGGCAGAAGGGAGCUUGACUGCGAGUCAAACACGACGAGCAGGUACGAAAGUAGGGCUUAGUGAUCCGGUGGUACCGAGUGGAAGGGCCAUCGCUCAACGGAUAAAAGCUACCCUGGGGAUAACAGGCUAAUCUCUCCCAAGAGUCCAUAUCGACGGGGAGGUUUGGCACCUCGAUGUCGGCUCAUCACAUCCUGGGGCUGAAGUCGGUCCCAAGGGUUGGGCUGUUCGCCCAUUAAAGUGGUACGUGAGCUGGGUUCAGAACGUCGUGAGACAGUUCGGUCCCUAUCCAUCGCGGGCGUAAGAGAUUUGAAGGGAUCUGCUCCUAGUACGAGAGGACCGGAGUGGACGAACCGCUGGUGUACCAAUUAUUCCGCCAGGAGUACAGUUGGGUAGCUACGUUCGGAAAGGAUAAACGCUGAAAGCAUCUAAGCGUGAAACCAGCCUUAAGAUGAGAUCUCUCAUAGAGUAAUCUAGUAAGACACCUUAAAGAAGAUGAGGUUGAUAGGUCGGGAGUGUAAGUGCAGUAAUGUACUCAGCGGACCGAUACUAAUAUGUCGAGGGCUUGACUUA